UAAAAAGCACUUAAGUUUCCAGCGAUUCAUUCCUGCAUUACAUAGCCUAGGAAGGGACUUCAAAAGGAUACUUCCACCUGCUCAACUCUUGUAAGCUUGCUAAUACUUGAAAUGAUUAUUUUUGGGAAACAAACGCGUAAUGUUGGCGAACACUCUUCAAUUCGGAUUGUACGCAGUAGUUUUGAAAAUGUGGAGCAAAAGACGGGUGAAAUUGAAGUGAGAUAUCCUGCAUUAAAAAAAGGAAUUCGACUUAUUUUUGCUGCUUUUCAAGAAACUUGUUUUUCUUUUUCGUCCGUAUCUACGCAGUUCAGAUUUAAAAUUUUUGAAUUACAUUUCGGAAAAGAAACAAAAAACGAGAUUCGGCUUCCAGAGAUCAAUUCGACGAAAUGUUCGUGACCCUAAAAGGUUUCUGGAAAAGGCCCUGCAUAUUCAACAAAAAAAAAGGUGUUGGCCUGUUGGCAUGCAGUGCAUUAUUCACAGUCUAUUCUUGACGUAUGUAGGAUGAAGAGCUCUCUCAUUUUCCUGAUGUUUCUACUGCUAGGCAUUCACGCCGUUAUUGUAAAUGGAGCACGUCGUUAUCAUCCUAUUCAAAGCGGGUCAUCUCUUGAUCAGUAUCCCCGCCAGCAAAACCAGCAUUACAACGUCUACGAAGACUACAGUAAUCACUAUCAUGAUUAUUAUCCCUUCCCAAUUACGUUUGUCUACGGAGCCAUAGGCCAUGCUAGAGGCUAACAGCUGUUUCCAGAAGUUUGCAAAGACUUGAUCUUCUACAACGUAAGAUGUUUACGAGUUGUAGUAUGAAAACGUAGCAAUAUAUACAGUUACACAAAUUCUUAUGUCAAGUUAGAUAGUAUGUAAGGAAUCUUGCAUGUCGUCAUCUAAUUGGCCUGAUUGUUAAAUUACGGUCCUGUUAAGGAAAAACAAACUGGGUGACACUUACGUCGCAUUUUAUUGUUGAGAUCUCUAAACCAGUUUUCUGGGAAGAAGUUGUGAUGAAAAUGAAAGAUUCAUCCAUCUUCGGUUCCAACUUGAUAUGGCGAGAAGAAGAAAAAAACCUGAUUUUAAAUAGGAAGUUUGUUUGCUUUUCAAGCUCACAGUAAAGACAAAUAAUUCCCUCGAGUUAAAUAGCAGUUGACUCAUAGUUCGAUUUGCACAGUCUGCAGUCAACUAAUCCGGGAUGAAGAGCUUCAUAACAUUGAUGCUGACGUUUGUUCUGGUGGUCGCUGUUGUGGCCGACAACCCAUAUUCUGUACGGUAUCCUUCGAGUGGAGCUCCUCUUUACCAGUUUCGAUUUCAGCCAGUAUCAGGAUACGCGUCAUACGUCUAUCUCCCCACGUCUUCUAAUCCAUCUUCGUACGGCGGUAGGCGAAACGGAUAUUAUCAGCAAAAGUCCAUUCCACAUGUUUACAAAAGA